CCUACGGGAGGCAGCAGUGGGGAAUAUUGCACAAUGGGGGAAACCCUGAUGCAGCCAUGCCGCGUGUGUGAAGAAGGCCUUCGGGUUGUAAAGCACUUUCAGUCGUGAGGAAAGGGGUGUAGUUAAUAACUGCAUCCUGUGACGUUAGCGACAGAAGAAGCACCGGCUAACUCCGUGCCAGCAGCCGCGGUAAUACGGAGGGUGCAAGCGUUAAUCGGAAUUACUGGGCGUAAAGCGUGCGUAGGCGGAUUAUUAAGUCAGAUGUGAAAUCCCGGGGCUCAACCUCGGAACUGCAUUUGAAACUGGUAGUCUAGAGUAUUGUAGAGGGUGGUGGAAUUUCCAGUGUAGCGGUGAAAUGCGUAGAGAUUGGAAGGAACAUCAGUGGCGAAGGCGGCCACCUGGACAAAUACUGACGCUGAGGCACGAAAGCGUGGGGAGCG
rnacentral:rRNA from 1 species